GAAAUGCGAUAACUAGUGUGAAUUGCAGAAUUCCGUGAAUCAUCGAGUCUUUGAACGCACAUUGCGCCCCCUGGUAUUCCGGGGGGCAUGCCUGUCCGAGCGUCAUUGCUGCCCAUCAAGCACGGCUUGUGUGUUGGGUCGUCGUCCCCUCUCCGGGGGGGACGGGCCCCAAAGGCAGCGGCGGCACCGCGUCCGAUCCUCGAGCGUAUGGGGCUUUGUCACCCGCUCUAUAGGCCCGGCCGGCGCUUGCCGAACGCAAAUCAAUCUUUUUCCAGGUUGACCUCGGAUCAGGUAGGGAUACCCGCUGAACUUAAGC
rnacentral:misc_RNA from 1 species